CCUACGGGCGGCAGCAGUGAGGAAUAUUGGUCAAUGGGCUUACGCCUGAACCAGCCAAGUCGCGUGAGGGAAGACUGCCCUAUGGGUUGUAAACCUCUUUUGUCAGGGAGCAAUUGGCGCUACGUGUAGCGUUAUCGAGAGUACCUGAAGAAAAAGCAUCGGCUAACUCCGUGCCAGCAGCCGCGGUAAUACGGGGGAUGCGAGCGUUAUCCGGUUUUAUUGGGUUUAAAGGGUGCGUAGGCGGAAUGCCAAGUCAGCGGUAAAAUCGCGGGGCUCAACCUCGCUCCGCAGUUGAAACUGGCGGUCUUGAGUGGGCGAGAGGUAUGCGGAAUGCGUGGUGUAGCGGUGAAAUGCAUAGAUAUCACGCAGAACUCCGAUUGCGAAGGCAGCAUACCGGCGCCCAACUGACGCUGAAGCACGAAAGCGUGGGUAUCGAACAGGAUUAGAUACCCUUGUAGUC
rnacentral:rRNA from 1 species